rnacentral:lncRNA from 1 species
CCAACCAGGUCUUGGCCACAUAGGUAGGAUAUUGGCUUAUUUAACUCAACACUUAUUGACCAUAUAAAUUACGUAAUGCUACGCAAUACUACAAUUUCUUAAUUUGAGUACUGAUUCCUAUUUUUCUUCGUGUAUCAAAAAAAAAGUCUCAAUAAAUAUCUGUUAACUAAUUCUACUGUACCUUCCGAAGAACAGAGUUGACGAAUUAACAAAAAUU